UAGUAACUGACAGCUCGGCCUCGAAACGAGAAGCCUCAAGUAGGUCAGACUGUGUCAACGGUUUCAAAUCCAGAGUCCACCCCAGUGGGCUUAAGGGAGUAGAGCAGCAGGAGACUCCUGGUGAUUAUAAUCAGUCCACACAGAUUAUCAGUUAAUGGUUCCAAAACAUUUCCCAGAAAAUUUAAUUGGAGGUAAACUGUUGAAAUUGAAAUUUCUUCAUGACAUUGGAAAAGGAGUGAUUGUUCUUAGCUCUAGCAGUUGUUAAGAUAAAGACCAUUACAUGUGAGCAUAUUAUUA